rnacentral:rRNA from 1 species
CAAUAGCGUAUAUUAAAGUUGUUGCAGUUAAAAAGCUCGUAGUUGGAUUUCUGGGAGGGUGCCGCCGUCCGGCGUGUCCGUGUGCAGUGGCGCCCUUCCAUCCUUCUGUUAGCGUCUCUUGGCAUUCAUUUGCUGGUGGCGGGCUCAGAUAUUUUACCUUGAGAAAAUUAGAGUGUUUCAGGCAGGCUAGGCCGGAAUACAUUAGCAUGGAAUAAUGGAAUAGGGCUACGGUCUCUUUGUUGGUUUGAGGGACUGCAGUAAUGAUUAAUAGGGAUAGUUGGGGGCAUUAGUAUUUAAUUGUCAGAGGUGGAAUUCUCAGAUUUGUUAAAGACUAACUUAUGCGAAAGCAUUUGCCAAGGAUGUUUUCAUUAA